rnacentral:rRNA from 1 species
CCUACGGGAGGCAGCAGUGAGGAAUAUUGGUCAAUGGACGAGAGUCUGAACCAGCCAAGUAGCGUGAAGGAUGACUGCCCUAUGGGUUGUAAACUUCUUUUAUAAAGGAAUAAAACGAGGCACGUGUGCCUUUUUGCAUGUACUUUAUGAAUAAGGAUCGGCUAACACCGGGCCAGCCGCCGCGGUAAUACGGUGGAUCCGAGCGUUAUCCGGAUUUAUUGGGUUUAAAGGGAGCGUAGAUGGGUUGUUAAGUCAGUUGUGAAAGUUUGCGGCUCAACCGUAAAAUUGCAAUUGAGACUGGCAGUCUUGAGUACAGUUGAGGUAGGCGGAAUUCGUGGUGUAGCGGUGAAAUGCUUAGAUAUCACGAAGAACCCCGAUUGCGAAGGCAGCUUACUAGACUGUGACUGACAUUGAGGCUCGAAAGUGUGGGUAUCAAACAGGAUUAGAUACCCGAGUAGUC